rnacentral:tRNA from 1 species
GCUCGGGUGGCUCAGUCGGUUAAGCGUCUGACUUCAGCUCAGGUCGCAAUUUCACGGCCUGUGGGUUUGAGCCCCACAUCGGGCU